AUGUUCAGGUUUAGACGCGCGCUCCUCCAAACUUCCGCAAACUCUCUCCGGACCGCAGGCAUCAUGUCCAACAAUAACGCUAGCAGCAGCAGUGUGGCCGUGGCGCAGAAAGCCGUCAAACAGCUCAGACUAGAGGCCAAAAUACGACGAAUUAACGUUUCUCAAGCUGCCACAGACCUGAAGAACUUCUGCCUGCAGAACGCCCAUAAAGACCCGCUGCUGGUGGGCGUGCCAUCCAGCGACAACCCCUUCCGGCCGCCCAAGUCCUGCGGGCUCCUCUGAACAACUCUGUCUGAUCACACAUAGGUUACCAACAAACUCCUGUCCUUCUAAAGCAGCGUAGAUGCAUUUAAGCUGGUGAAGUGUUGCAGAUGAUGUGGCUGCCUUCAAGUGUCUGUUUCUACCUUUACACUACUCCAUAAAGACCCCCUUAAACCCUAAACACUACUUAGCAUAGCAACAAAAGAAAUAUUUCCCCUGUAUUAAUUUUUCCUUUAAACUCAUUUCAUAUCUGCACAGUUGCUGUCUAUUUUUAUGAACUUUGUUAUGAGUAACAAUGCUGAAUUUACACUGUAUGGUACAAUCAACUGUAAAAGUCAUGACACCCCAUGUUUUGAAAGCAAUUUUAUGUACCAAACACUAUUUUAUUUGUAAUGCAUGUUUUAUCAAACAAAAGGACAUCCUUGAAGAUUGUAUGACGUUUUCCCUGGUUUAUGUGGAAGUAAUGGAAAAAUUAAACUAUUAGAAUAUUUCUAUCUAAAAUUAGAGGACAUUUUUCUACUAUAGUCUUUUACUUAUUUAUGGCCAGCAAGAUUUGGUUUGAAGGUCAUUUGUAAACAUGCUCAACGUCACAUGUUGGACGUCUUCCUUUAUCUGACGCUCAUUUCAGGUCUUGGCAUCUUGACUGAUGAGCUGAUGAGUUGAGUCAGGUGUGUUUGAUGAGGAAGACCUUCAGUAUGUGCUAUGUUGAGGAUACCUUGAUUACCUACUGAAUGAACAUGUUCAAAUUAAACCUUUAUUCUCAUUUCAUUGACUUUUUGCUAAACUGACUUUUAAAAAAUAAAGUGUUCUUGAUCAUU